GCAAAGAUUUAAGUGAUACGCUUUAUUGCAACAUCAAUUCUCUUAAUAAUAAUUAUGAAAAAGAUUAUUUAUCUUCAAAUACAAUUCAGUCUUAAAAGGCAGGAUUAUAUUGGAAAAGUUCCUUGCCUUUUAACUAAAUGCUGUCCCCUUGAUUCAUAUCAUAUUGGCUUUGGCUCUCAACCUCCAGGCUACACUUAUUUGUAAACAAACAAUGAACUAAGAUACCAAUAGCAGAAAGCCAAUUUGCAUUUGGUGUCAAAAUCUUCUUGAACGGUGUCACAUGGCAUCAAAAUCUUCUUGAACGGUGUGGCAUGGCGUGCAUUUGAGAGAUCAUCCUAAAGCAUACAUGAAUUCAGUCUCUUUCUUCAACAUUUAUCAACAGAUGAUUUUUCUUUAACCCAAAAUUUGCAAUGGAACAAAAAUAUUGUGAAAUUCACCUUGCUACUGCAGGUUUGAAGUAUUAGAAACUGAUUUUCCUAGCAAGCCUCUAGAAUAUCAUGGAUCUGCAUUUGAAUGCAGAUAGGAAGGUGAACCGAUUCUAAACCCCCUCACCCGAUUUGGUAUUUGGCAAGCAGACAUCCUGGUUAAGACCUGAAAAAGGAUACAAGGACUCAACUAUAAACCAGCAUCACAUACAGCCCCAUGGAAAACUUUUGACAACUUGUUAUUACAAUCAAGACAUUUAUCUAAUGAUGUUACAUUAGAAGAAACAUAAUGAAUCACUUAAGUCAUUAAGAAAAGUAGAUCACAUGGAAACAUUAGCCUAGUUUCAAUGGAUUUCAUUCAAUAGAAUGCAAUGCAAUGCCUGGCAUAGGUUGUCUCUUCCCCACUAAUGUUUUUAGGCGUAAUCAACUGCUUCAUCCACAGGACUGAAAAUAAAUUGAGUAAAGGGAAAAUGUUGAAAAGGGAAAUGGGGAUCAACUGAAAAUUAAAAUGUAAGAAUUUUACUGUAAUAGAACUUGUUAAAGCAUUGGCUACAAUAUGUGUACAACAUUUCCUUGUCUCAAGACUUUCUGCGUAAGCCACGACAUUUUGCAUGUGUAUCUGCUGUUUGAAAGAAAGCCUUCUAUUUCUAUCCAAAAAGAGAAAUAAAAAAUAGAAAAAGCAUCCACUUAUGUCAAUGAUAUCAAUACACAGAGCAAAUGAAACAUUCUAUUUAUGUCAAUGACAUUAAUGAAUACAAAAUUAAUGCAGUACUCUUUGUUUAAAAAAAAAGAAAAAUGUAUCCUUAGAAGAACCACCUCAAGGGCAAAAGGGUAGAAAUAUGCAAUCUACUAUCUGAGAAAAAUCCUGAUCUUACUAAUAGUUCUUAUUUGAGUUAUUCAGCCUUCGGAGAAACAGCUGAAACUUUUACCAUACAGACAAAUUGGAUCCACUAACCAUGCGGCUUAUGUACCGAUCACAUCAUUGACAACUAUUCAUUGUUAAGGAAACUGACAGCAUAGAUGAGGUGUACGACAAUGGUUUGUACUACAUAACCGCAUGCAAUGCAUGCAUUGUUAACACGUUUAUACAAAUCCAAAGAACGAUUGGAAUUUUCUUUAGGGACACGUAUGUGCAAAAUCUAUGCCAGCUAUCUAGGCUGGGCAUAAAAUAGUUUGUUGUUUUUUAAAUUGUUAAAAAGAAGAAACUCUGUCUAUUAACCUGCAAUUUUCUGUUUCAUACACUUCUGUAGGUUCAAGUGUAAACUGGUCAAUCUGAUUCUGUUGAAAUCCAACUUCUUAAAAUCACAUCUUCUUUCAAUUCACUGUUAUACCAUUUUAGACUCUUACCUGCCAACACCAAAUCUAGAUUGUUACUUGGCCAAAUAAAUGAAACGGGGAAAAUGGACAAAUGAGUAACAAACAAUUUUAGACAAGCAGAGAAAGAGAAGACGCACUUAGAGAAGAAACAAGAAAUGCCAGCUUGUCUGUAGCUCAUAUCCAACUUAUUAUAAACUAGGAACCACCAUCUCAUAACCAAAUAAAGUACAAGAGGUGAAUUUAAUCUGAACUUGAACUAUUGAUUUUAUAACUUUUAAUUGCCUAAUCGACAAGAAGGCCAGAUAUCCAGCUAUCAGAUACAUACAUUGCAGCACCGUAUCUUGCGUGUAUUCGGUGCCUCUAAAGAUAAAAGAAUUGAAUGGUCCAUUCACCGUGUAUAUUCUUCCACAAAUUUCUAAUCCUAGAUUCAGUCUUCUCCUUUCUAUGCCUUUUCCUUUAAGGUAAAAUAUACUCUCAAAACACUGCACCUAGUUGGUGCACUUCCUGCAUCAAGUCACUGCCCUCAUCCUUAAAAUGCUUGCCGUAUCUUGUUAAUCCAAGCUUGGUCUCUUUGUUUCAUUCAUAUCAAAAUCAAAAACCAAAAUAAGAAAAGGGACAGAGACCAUGAAAAAUUUGAUUUUUCAAGAGCCUAAGGAGAGAGUAACAGACGGUACAAGCGGCAUAAGCUAUGCCUGGAACUCUAUACGUGCUUCAGUGAUUGUACCACUUCUACACCUAGCAAUUAUCUUGUGCUCGGUGAUGUCUCUGAUGAUUUUCAUUGAACGGGUUUACAUGGCCAUUGUGAUCUUGUAUGUAAAAGUCUUGAGGAAGAAAAGAUACACCGAGUACAAGCUGGAGGAGAUGAAAGAAGAUCUAGAGCUUAACAAAAGCUACCCUAUGGUGUUGGUUCAAAUUCCUAUGUAUAAUGAGAAGGAGGUAUUCUUAAUUAUCUAUGUUGUAACUAAUGUCACAUAAAGGGAGCAGACAUAGACUAUAUGCUAAUUGCAUAAUUACAUACCACUGCAUGAAUAAAUACAACCUACAAUCCAGAUGACCUACAAGCUUCUUAGUUGAGAUGAAUAUGUCAUUAAUGGUAGUUGGUGACAUUCAGAAAAGAAUUUAUUCCUGUUUUAGACAACCAAAAAGCAGUGAACUAUAUCUGAUACCAAACAGGAAUUUGUUUGUUAUGAACCAAUUAAGUAGUUUAUUUCUUUCUAAAGAAAUAUAUAUCAUAUUAUUAAAUUUUAAUCUCUUAUAUUUUGAACUAUUAUACUCUUCUGUUCUUCAUAAAUUGGUCAGUUUAGAACAUGUCAUCAUCAUGCUAUUAACAGAAUCUUUUAUAUUACGUUUUCAUAUUACGUGAAAAACUUACUAAAAAAGAAACUUCCAUAUUAAGAAAUUAAUUGAAGUUUGGACCUUCUAUGCACAUGUUCCAAUUUUGAGCAUUCUAUAUUAUAGCUUUUCAUUACAUAUGUGAAAUUGAGAACAGCUUCAGUUAAGUCUUACAAGACCAUAAUAACCAGUGUCCAGAGUCAUAUACAGAUAAAAAUUUAUUUAUGUUUGUGACUCAGCAUGUUAUUAAACGCGUAAGCCACAGCUGCAGCAUACAAAGUAGGCCAAAUGAUGAUGAAGGUUUGUGUAACUAACCAUUCCAUCUGGUGGGUGAGACUCUGCUUUAUUAGUUUUAGGGUAAGACUGUUAAGUUCACAUAUCCAUAACAUAAUGUCAUGAUUUUUUUGACUGAUCAUUCCUAAUGGUACAUCUAUUUCAUCCUCUGCAAAUUUGAGGUCUUAAUAGCUUACAAACAGAUAUUCAAUGCUACAAAGUUAGAGGUAACUGGUAGGCAGUUAACAUAACAGCACAAUGAGAAAAAAAAGGGUAACAGAAGGCAAGAGAAAUGCUAGGUUGUUGUCUAAAUUUCAUGAUUGUUAUUUCAGCUAUUUUGACAAUCAUCACAAACCACUGUGGUCGAAUCACUUCCAGUAAGCAACUAACUGAAAGUUAAAAGUCUAAACUAAUUCUCAAAUUUUUUCUCUUUUUUUCUCUUUCCUCUACAGGUUUACAAGCUCUCUAUAGGAGCUGCUUGUGGACUUUCAUGGCCAUCUGACCGUCUCAUAGUUCAAGUUCUUGAUGACUCAACCAAUGAAGUCUUGAGGGUAUCACUUCAUCUCUUUGAACCCAAUAAAAUCUAAAACCUCUUUAUUUGUGCACUCAGACUGACUUUUUCCAGUACACACAGAAACUAGUGGAGCUGGAGUGCCUGAAAUGGAAAGAAAAAGGCGUGAAUGUGAAGUAUGAAACCAGGAAGAAUAGGAAUGGUUACAAGGCAGGUGCCCUUAAAGAAGGUUUAGAGAAGCAGUAUGUCAAAGAUUGUCAGUUUGUGGUGAUCUUUGAUGCAGACUUUCAACCUGAUGAGGAUUUUCUAUGGAGGACGAUUCCUUAUCUGCUAGAAAACAAAGAGUUGGGAUUGGUUCAAGCCAGAUGGAAAUUUGGUAAGACCACAAAACAAGAUCGAUUUUUAUGUGAACCUAAACUGCCCAGAUAUAAUUUCUCUAGAUUUAGAUGCAGAUGCUACUUACCCGACUAGCAAUAGUUAAGUUCUUACUUUAGUGUCAUUAAUGGUGAUAUCUGCAAAAUAUUUGAGGUAGUUUCUGGUAUUCAGUUGUUUUCUGGUAUUUCUACAUUUUUACCAUUCAAUGAGAUUUUCUCCAGUAAACGCUGAUGAAUGCCUAAUGACGCGGCUCCAAGAGAUGUCACUUGAUUAUCACUUCUCUGUUGAGCAAGAAGUAGGCUCCUCAACUUGUCAGUUCUUCGGGUUCAAUGGUAAAUCCUACAACAAUAAUCUAUCUACCACUAGAACUAAAUUAAACCAAUGUAACUUAGCUUUGUGUGCUAACAGGAACGGCAGGUGUUUGGCGAAUUCAAGCCAUAGAGGAUGCUGGCGGAUGGAAAGACCGAACCACAGUGGAAGACAUGGACCUUGCAGUCAGGGCUAGCCUCAAGGGUUGGAAAUUUGUCUUUGUUGGAGACCUAGGAGUGAGUCUACAUCUCACAGAUACUUUUGCCGUUUGUAUUUGUCCUACAAAUUCAAGAAAUAAUUAGAUAUCGCAAUCCAAUUGAUUCUCUGUGUGAUAAUUUUUGUCUCUGCUUCCUCUCCUGCUAGGUUAAAAAUGAACUACCUAGUACCUUCAAGGCAUACCGUUAUCAACAGCACCGUUGGUCAUGCGGUCCAUCUAACCUCUUCAGGAAAAUGACCAGAGAAAUCAUUCUUUGUGAAGUGAGUGAACUGUAAACUAAUUUCGCUAAGCCUUCAUCUAGACAAAACUAAAAUCAAUCCAGCUAGAAGGAUAGCAUUCGAUUCACUAAAUAACUUUCGUCCAGGAAGAAUCUCACAUGCUAUCUUAUCUCUUAUGCAGAGGGUCUCAGUCUGGAAAAGACUCUAUCUUAUAUAUGCAUUUUUUAUUGUGAGGAAGAUAAUAGCACACUGGGUCACUUUCUUCUUUUACUGCAUAGUUAUACCAACCAGUGUUUUGGUUCCUGAAAUCCAACUGACAAAGCCGAUUGCUAUUUACAUUCCAGCCACCAUUACCUUACUGAAUGCUGUCUGUACACCAAGGUACCAGAAAACAGGUCAUAGAAAUAUAAAGUUUCACUUUUAUGCUUUUGUAAACUUCAUUAUAUUCAUCCCCUAGAUAGAAUGAUAAUCUUCAAUUUACCCCCAUUUUCGUUCAGAAGAUGAGGGCAAAUGGGUAGCUCGUUGAUAAUUUUUUUUCCCUUCUUAAUAGUCAGUAGGGGUAGAUUGAAGAUUGUCAUUCUAAGUAGAGUAUAAAUUGAAGUUUACCCUUAUACCAUUUAUCCUUUUUAAGAUGUUGACUACUAGUUAUUUUAUCAUUUCAUGGUCAGGUCCUUCCAUCUAAUUGUCUUCUGGAUUUUGUUUGAGAAUGUCAUGUCGCUCCUUCGAGCUAAAGCAGCAAUUAUAGGCCUCCUAGAAGCUAAUCGCGUCAAUGAAUGGGUCGUAACGGAGAAGCAUGGGAACACGAAGAAGCAAAAGAAUAACAUCAAAACGCUAAAGAAAUCACGGUCUCGAGUUGGAGAAAGGUAUUUAUCUAUUCUUACUAUGUGAGCUAUAAUUUCACUACACCUAAGUGCAAAAUAAACACAGCAAAUAGCUAUUCUGUUCAAGAACCAUCACUCAAAUAAGCAUGCGAACAAAAGCUAGAGCACCACAAAGACCCAUCAAUUACAAAGAGGAUAAAGAGCCAAAAUUCACAUAAAAGCAGAACAUUUUGCCAUACAGAAUAUAACAUCACCAAAGCAUUAACUAACUAUAAUUUGAUUUAACAAGACUAUUUUGACAAACAGGCUGCAUGUUUUGGAGCUGAUAAUGGGGACGUUUAUGCUCUACUGUGCAAUCUAUAACCUGAUAUUUUGCCAAGAUCAUUUCUUUGUGUAUCUCUUACUGCAAGCUGGGGCAUUCUUCAUAAUGGGAUUCGGAUAUGUGGGGACAUCUGUACCUAAUUAGAACAACGCUAGCUUUUACUCUCUAUCUUGUAGCAUUUUAUUUCACUGUUUCUAUGGCUAGAACCUAGAAGUAGGUGCAUGUAAGACUAGUUAAAACUUAUGUGUAUUUAGUAGAAUAAAAAUAAACAAAUGUUGAUAGUAAAUGCAGAAUAACUAC
rnacentral:lncRNA from 1 species